GUCUAGGCCGCCCCACUCCCUCCCGAUCCGGAGGGAGCACCCGCGGGGAACCUGCGCGCGGACGGUGGCCCCGGAAUUGGCGCGGGCCUUGGCGCCGGAGGAUGGAUACUGCUCCCGGAAAGGGGGGCCGAGUGUCCCGCUCCUGCUUCCUGGAGAAUUAGCUCGGCGGUGUGCGUGGCCGGGGAGGGAGGGACGGACAGGCCUGGGGGCGACCAGCCGGGCAGGGAGUGGCUUCUGGGGGGGGCUCCCUUCGCCAGCGGAAGGCCCGCGAGGCCGCCCUCGGAGCAGUGCCAGGUACGUGCGUUUUCAUCCUUGUUUCCCGCGCGCCCAGAGAGCGCAGUCUCUGGGGAGGUGGACGACUGAAAAAAACCUAACCGGUGCGCGCGAGGUUUUCGCAGCAAACGAGUCUUUUCCGAGCUGCCCCGGGAUGGCAGCCGGACCCGGGGUAACCCCUGCCGCGCUCCCCACCGCGGGGCUCGGUGGCAGAGCUUGGUCGCCUUGCUGAGUCCCACGGAAUUCACCCGGGACACCGUGGGUACUACAGCUCGAUUUCCUAGUCCUUCCUACGGCUCUUCCCCCACCCGGAAACCCAGAUUCUCGUCUUCGGACCCGGGGUGUUUGCUUUGGAGAUUUAGGGACCUCAGCUGGAGGGAACUCGCAUUAGGGAAGACCCGGCCUUGGCUACUGCUGCUGGGCGGGGGUCCAGGAACGAACCCCUCCUGGCCCCGGGAACUUCAGUUUUACGCGGUUAGGUGACACCCGUGGCGGACUUUUUUUCUUUCUUUUUUUUUUCCGGGUCAGAAAAGCCUGGUAGCGGCCCCCUCCCCUCCCCCAUACCCACUUCAAACAAAAGAGCUCCUCGGAGAAUAGUUUUUAGGGAGAGAGCUAGCCUCUGAAUGUGGAUGCGCAAUUUUCCCCGCCCCGUCCCUAGGAAGGACCAGGGUUUUUUUGUUGUUUUGUUUUUUUUUUGUUACGUGUGUUUAAAACAAAGUGGAAGCUUGGGCGCGAGUUGCAGGGGGAAGGGACGCUUUUAUUUUGGAGUUCCUGAAGAAUUCACCUUCUUUUCUCCCCCCAAAUUAGCCGCAGCUGUCUUACCUGAUCAUGGGAUUUUACCCGGUCUGCAAAGGGUAGCUGCUUGAGAAGAACGUUUGAGAAGAGGAAAUGGGCCUCUGGCCGGUGGGGUAAAAACCCCUGUGGAAUGAAAAACACUCCCAGCCGCUUUGCGGAAGAUUGCAGAGUAAGGCCUGACAAAAGCAACGUCUGCCGGUUCCCUGGGAAUCCAGAAACUUAUCGAUCUCCUCGACGCCCCCCCCCAACACCCGUCUUUGAGAUCCAGGGCGGAGAGUCCUUUGGUGACCCCUCCACUUUGGGCCAGCCCAGGACGCCCCAACCCAAGCCCGGAGUUAAUUAAUUUUCAGAAAUGGAAGAAGAUGUUAGGGGAGAGGGGGAGACCUGGGCCCAAUCCCCUCCCUGGAAGGGCAGCAAAAAAUACCCCCCAUACACACACCCGGUUUGUAACACCAAAGUAAAUUUCUGGGUGCUACGUUUCCCUUGAUCCAGCUGCCUGGAAGAGUGUAUUCUCUGAGCAGGGCGAGGGGCGGCUUUAACCCCCUCGUCCGGCUACUCCUUUGUCUCUCAACGGUUCCUGGAACCAGCGGGGCGCCCCGGGGCUGGAGCUGGGGCGCGCGGAAGCCGGGCUCCGAGGCGCCGGUCCCGCAGGUGUGCAGCGCCUAUCGCCACCGAUGCAGGUCCGAGCCGCGGAUGUGUGUGUGCGCGCGGUCCACGUGCGAUGCACCCGGGAUUGCACCCCAGAGCCCUUCGCCGGAGCGGAAAAGAAUUUAAGGAGUCUACGCCGCGUUUAGAGUUUUUUUUUUUAAUACUUGAGAUAACGGGGGAAGUAGGGUGCCUCCCGACGCGAAUGGAGGUGUCUUAAAAAUUAUAUCCCCAUUGUUGAACCAGUUAUUUCCGACCUUCCUUAGGUAUUAAAGAAAUGUUGCCACAUUUAA